AGCCCAGCUGUUGCCCUGGCAGCUCCAUGACCACACCUCUGUGCCCAGACAUGGAUCAGAACUGGGAGAAAAAGAGAAGGUGGUACCUUCUAUCCCCUUCACCCUGGGUCUUUCAGGAUCUGCCCCAAGGAGCAGAAAACGGGUGCGCCCAGAGCAGCUUACUCAGGAGACGCUUGCUGUAUGUAUGGCCUGGGACAACUGUAAGAGCCCUGAGGGCACAGAGUAUGGGCAACAGGUGAUAGCAAAUCAAGGAGCAUAUUUAGCAAUGCCUGUGCUACCUAGCAAUGAGAAAUCUAUGAAAAUAGCGACACCACAGGAAUAGGGACUGCAGAGUGGGAAGAAAUGAGGGGUGACCAUGUUGAAGAAACUGUGUUUCGGCAGAGGAGAGAGCAGAGCAAUGGGGUGAGGUGGGAAUGCUUUUGGGUGGGCUUCAGAAGCAGUGAGGUCAGUGUGGCUGUCGUGAGGUGUGGAGAGUUGGGGAAGAGGAAAGGGGGUACCUGAGUUACCUGGGGCCACGUCACGUAGGGCCUGGUGGGCUGUGGUAGGGACUUGGGAUGUUUCUCUAAGUGCAGAAGAUUUUGAGCUGGGGAGAUGUGAUUGGAUUUAUGUUGUAGGGGCAAUAGAGACUAGGGAAUUGAACAGGAAGCAGGGAGGCCAGGAGGUGGCAGCUGUAGAGGUCUGGAGGCUUGGAUGUAACCAGGAGGGUUGGACAGAGCUACAGGUCAGACUGGGUCCACAUUUCAAAGGGGAUCUUAAAGGCUGUGAGAGGGACUAUUACAUGCCACCAAUAUUGAUUGUGCUCCUACCAUCAGGAUACAGAGAUGAGACAGUGAUUCCUGUCCUCAAGGAGGUUACAUUCGCAUGGGGAGAGACACAUAGCAAAAGAGACCACCAAGGCAAGUCCGCCGAGAGAUGAUGAGAGCCCAGAGGGCAUAUCACUAAGAGAAGGCCAGGAAUGAUCUCACGGAGCAAAUGGCAAUUGGCUUGAGUUUUGAGGAAGUAGAAGUUUGGUCAACAGGCUCACCCUUGCUGAUGCUGAGUAAUCUGCAGGCUGCAAUCUGCCCGUGAAAGAACUCUUGCAACACAUUGUGUGAGGAUCCCAGGUAAACAGCCAAUGUGUGUGCCCAGAGCUGCACUUACGUCUGUCUUCUAGGGAAGCCUCCCUCCCCGCUGGCCUUCAGGCUGUGCCUCCACCCUGCCUCUGUCUUGUUCUCUUAGGCUGCCCUGUCCUUCCCUGGGAAUCAGGUCAAGAGCCCUGCUGGCAGGUGUCCUAGAGCAUGAAUCAGGCCCCUGGCAAGGAGAAGGCGGGAGAUCUUGGCUGAGAUCAGUGGAAUACUGAGCCUCCAGCUUGUGUGUCAUAUGUGUGGACUUUUCAGCAUAUUCUUCUCUGGCCCAGAAGUCUGGAUUCUUCUUGUCUGUUGCAAUAAUAUAAAGUUAUUCAGAGCUGUACAUGAAGAGAAGUCCCACAGGGACCCUGGGAUCAGAAGAACUCUGGGAAAUGCCUGGCCCAGCCAGUGCUGUUCUAAAGAUCCUCAUCCUCAUGGAGAUAACCAUUUUUAAGGAAGAAAAGAGGAUCUGGACCCUACCCAUCUCAGUCUCCAUCAGAUCUUAUGGAUGCUCCAGGAAUUGGCCAUGAUUCUCCUCUUUUCUACCAUCUUGUAUGUUGGGCUUUGUAGAGGAUAGAUGUUUUCUAGAAGAAUGGCAGAUAAGGCAAGGUCUGCAGCUUGCCAUUGAUAGUGUCUUUAUCAACAGAUCUGUGAGGAAUUGUGCAGCUGAGAGGGGAGAAGAGAAAUCAGAGAGUGGAUGGACUGCCACAGUUCAACAUAUACUGGUGCUUUCAAUAUAGAAUCCACAAGGCAACCUGCAUGCUGGGCUCUGUGCUAGGCACUAGGGGUAUAUCUAUGAGAUGCCACCCCAGCUCCCACAGUCUUACAAUCUAAUGGGGAAGAGAGAUAUGUCAAUAGACAAACGCAGCAGAUGGCAAGUGCUGGGAUAUGAAACAGUAAGCAGAAGCCACAGUGUUCUCUGGGACUUCUGAGCUGAGUCCCAAAGUAAUUAGAUUAAUCCGUCAUGGGAGGUGGAGUGGGUAGGGGGAGCUCCUGGAAGCAUGAUCAAAAGUGGAGAGCUAAGGUGAGGGAGAAGAAAGAAAUGAGAUUCAGCAAAGAGGAGGAGAGCAAUGAAGGGCCAUGUAUGACCAGGCGAAGGCAAAUUGUUCGGACCAAACAUGACAGUAGGGUGGGUUUUUGAGGGGUAUCCACUGCACUUACAGAGGCAAGAUUCUCUAUGGUGACCUUUCAGUGAGGGUGGGCAAAUACACUACUUUUUGAGUCAGCCAUUUUUCACUACUGAGCACCUCUGGCCUUAGCAAGUUCUGAGCAUGAAUACUUUCUUCUGUUUCUAAGCCAUUCAACAAAUAUCAAAGUGCUUUCCCAUGUAUUGGUCAUCUUAGGCAAACUGGGUGGACAUGUAGAGCAAGACGUAAUGAGGUAAGCACUCACUAGAGCUAGGUCAUCUUAGAAAAGUCACUUAGCUUCACUGAGCCUCAGUCUUCCUAUCUGUGAAAUGGGGAUAAUGACCCUUAUGUCACCUGGUGGGCAAGGUCUAAAUAAAAUCAUUGUAGUUAGAUCCAUAGUAGGUUCUUUCUGACCUACCACUGUGCACCUCACGCCGUUGCUAUUCCAGUGGGAUAUAUCCAGUGGGGUUACGGGUAUGACAUUUCGGAACCCCACCAUCACUUGUAUCAGCAGGUCUGUCCUAGGUUCCCCAACUAAGCUUCCUGGAUGAGGCACCUAGUGGCGUCCCCUAGUUUGAGUGUGGGGGGUUUGGUAAACUAGUCCUUAUGUAUGCUUGUCAGAUGGAGGGUACUGUCUUUAAGAUGGGCUCAUAGCUGAAUCUGGAAGGUAAGUGCUCCAGGCCAGUAUUGUUUUCUGCAGGAUUCAAAGUUCCCUUGCUAUUUCUGCUGACUUUGCUUCCCCUCUCGUGUUCUAUAUCCCAAACCUAUUAUCUUCACCAGCGUUAAUUUGCCUCCACAACUCUGUUUUUGCAUUUUGAAAUGGAAUUUCCCUUAACCUAUAUUCCUCUGGUUCCCAAACUCCACCUGCUUCAGUUUUUUUUUCAAUAUCAUCUACAUUUCCUUCACUAGAUUAUAGCCUUAGUCAUUUGUACCCUUAGAAUGAAUAUUUUUUUCUGUCAUAUCUUUGUUUGAACCUUUUCACAUUUGACUUCAGACAUUACCCAUCUCCUUCAUCUGACCACUUUCUUCACUUUUCUCAUCUUUCCAUUUUGGUUGUAUGUCUACUGAGCAAGGGGCUCUGUGCAGAGCAUUCAAAGAUGACUGAGAUGUAGUCUUGUGGGUAGAGAGAGACAAUUAGAAUGCACCGUGGAGAGUGUUAGGUUGAGGGAAGCGGAGAUUACAGGAGUCCAAAUGUCUUAUCCGAGGAUAUGGGAUAGGCUUGAGAGAAGAUGCUGAGCUCAUGUAGGUGAGGUAUUGUCCUACGUGAAGGAAAAGAGGCAGGAGAUGGCAGCUUGGAGGCUAUAUUACUUUCUCUGGGGCUGCCAUACCAAAGUACCACAAACUGGGUGGCUUAAAACAUCAAAAAUGUAUUUUCUCACAGUUCUAGAAGGUAGAAGCCCAAAAUCAAGAUGUUGGCCCUACAGCUGUGCUCCUUCUGAAGGCUUUGGGGUGAAUGUGUUUAAUGCCCUUUUCUUAGCUUCUGCCCUUUUCUUUUCUGGCCUUCACAGAAGGCCAAAGAGCAAUCCUUGGCCUUCCUUGGCUUGUGGAUGCAUCGUUUCAGUCUCUGCCUCUGUUUUCACAUGGCCCUCUUCCCUGUGUAUCUGUCUCUACGCUGCUUCUCAUCUUAUAAGGACACAAGUCAGAUUGGAAUAAAGCCUAUUCUAAUUCAGUAUAAUCACAUCUUAACUUGAUUAUGUAUGCAAAGACCAUAUUUCCAAAUAAGGUCACAUUUUCAGGUCCUCGGGGUUAGAGCUUUCACAUGUCUUUUUGGGGGACAUAGUUCAACUCAUAAUAGAAACCUCGCAGAUAAAUCAUUUUGGCCGGUGCACAGAGUUAAGUGGUGGAUUAUCAAGAAUAUGGAAUUUUAGAAUUUUAGCUUCUUGGUUGAUUUUUGGGAAUUAACAUACAGGAGAGCAGGUUUAGAAGUAACAAUAACACUUUGAGAGGCCGAGGUGGGCAGAUCAUGAGGUCAGGAGAUCGAGACCAUCCUGGCUAACAUGGUGAAACCCCGUCUCCACUAAAAAUACAAAAAUUAGCCGGGCAUGGUGGCAGGUGCCUGUAGUCCCAGCUACUCAGAAGGCUGAGGCAGCAGAAUGGCAUGAACCCGGGAGGCGGAGGUUGCAGUGAGCCGAGAUCGUGCCACUGCACUCCAGCUGGGGAGACAGAGUGAGACUCUGUCUCAUAAAAAAAAGAAGUGACAAUAACAAUAACAGAGGCUGGUCUUCUGGGAAUGAUGCGAUACUCUUCAGCCAGCCUUUCUGUUUUGAGCGAAGCCCCAACCUGGAGUUCAAAGAGAGUGAGGGCGCUUCCUGUCUUCUUGUCUUUCUCCUCUCUCCUGCUACUUGUUAUGAAAUUCAGAACAAUUAGAGAUUUUCUGUCUCAUCCCUGGAAUGGUGUUUCUCCUGCUGGCCCUAUCAGGCUGGUGUGUUGAUGUUAUCGGGGAGAGGCUGUAGUUACUAGGAUGAAGAAGGCAAGAGAGAAAUGGAAUUCACGCAGAUCAAACAUGUGUAAUCAGAAGACAUUACUGAGGCUUGAUGAUGCUGUUCAGGGUGUAUUUCCCUUGAAACGCUUCUUAAAAGACAGCAGCUUAAACAAAUGGGCAAGAUGAGAUUCACAGAGGUAACAUUUCAGAGAGAAUGUAGGUACAGCUAAGCAGAGCUAAGCAGUGACAGAAGGAGAAAGUGUGUCUGAAGAAAAAUCUUCAUUACAGAUUUGAAAGAAAAAAAACCCAUCAAAUCCCUCUGCCUUGUGGGUCUCACAGGAGGCAAACUUUCUUUACAAACUGUGUGUUUGUGUUUUGAGUGACUAAGAGUUCAGGGACAAGUUCAAACACACCUAAGUUCAAUUUAAAAGUAAAUGAGAUGACAUUGGAGGAAAUUUAUAAUAAAAUGUCACUCUUUACCUAACACCAUUUUCUCUGGAAUUCAAAAUAUCCAUUGUUUAAAAGUGACACAGUAACUACCAUCUAGUUUGCUGAAUGACCUUCUUUAUAGCGUCAUGGUAUUAGAAAUGGCUUCAGAAGGAAUCACUCAACUGCAUUUAUCUGGCAGGAGAAAAAUGCAGGUAGUAUUUAUUUUGGGGUGUGGUAGGGGAUGUCCCCUAGCAAGGAUCCUAGAAGUCAGUGUCAGGUAUGAGAACAAGAAACAUUCAUUUAUUGCAUGCAUACUCAUUGAGUCCCUACUAUGUAUUGGUAUUAUGUGGCAGUAUGAAUAUUCUCAUUUGUUAAAUAAAGAUACUUGAGUCUGCUUUCAGUGUUGUGGGUUUUGUUAUUAAGAGUAAUACAGUCAUGUGUUGCUUGAUCAUGGGGACUUGUUCUGAGAAAUGUGUUGUCAAGCAAUUCUGUCUUUGUGGGAACCUCGUAGAGAGUAGGGUACUUACAAAAACCUAGAUGGGAUAGCUUAAUACGCACCUAGGCUGUAGGGUAAAGCCCAUUGCUCCCAGGCUACAAACCUGUAGAGCAUGUUACUGACUGAAUACUGUAGGCAGUUGUAACAAAUCACUAGGCAACAGAAACUUUGCAGCUCUGUUAUUAUCUUAUGGCACCACUGUUGUGUAUGCAGUCUGUUGACCAAAACAUCAUGUGGUUCAUGAUCGUACUUAUAGUACUAAGUGCCAGGCAUUGAACUGUGCCAAGUGUCAGGGCUGAAUGAGCUCAUUCAAUUUUUCUAAUAAGUCUAUGAGGUAGUUACUGAUAUCGCCCCUGCUUUACAGAUGAGGAAACUGAGGCACAGAGAUAAGGAAUUUGGAUAAAUUUUUAUAACAGGUAGGAGAUAAGUGAUGAAGAGACACUGAAUGAUUGAAAACUCACUUGGUUUGAUUUGCUUAUGUGAAAAAUGGAUUUAAGGAAGGCAGCGGAUGCAAGCACGGAGGCAGGGAAACUGGUUGAUGUGUGGAUUGAGUGAGUUAAUGUGUGUCAAAUGCCUAGAAUGGUCACUACACAAGUAUUUGCUAUUGUUCUUAUUUUUGUUGUAAUCAGUCAGAAUGGUCUAAGUCAGUGGUCAGCAAACUUUUUUUAUGCAGAGCCAGAUAGAAAAUAAUUUAGGCUUUUUAUGCUCUUAGGUCUCUCUUGCAAUUACUCAAUUCUGCCCUUGUAGCAUGCAGGCAACCAUAGUCAAUGUGUAAAUAGGAACGAGCAUGGCUGCAUUCCAUUGCAUGUAGUUUAUAAAACUAUAGCCCACAGACUAUACUUUGCCAAUUCUUGGUCUAGACUAUGCUGUAGUUAUAAUUCCCAAACCCUAUUGGUUUAUAAGGGUUUACUAUUAUUUCUACAACUAUCAGUCAGAAUGAGCUAGACUAUGCCAUAUUAACGAACAACCCCCAAACCUUAGUGGUUUACAAAAAUAAGGAUUUUAUUCUUGGCUCACAUUACAUGUCCAAUGUGGGUUGGCAGGGGAACUCCAGUUCCUGCUUCACGACUCUGAGACCCAGGCUGAUAAAGCAGCCACCACCUCAAAGAUUUCUGAUUCGUAAGAGAGAGGUAGAGAGACAGAGAAAACUUUUGAUGUGAUCCUGUCUAGAAGUGCACAGGUCACAUCUGCUCACAAACCUAGUGACUGGCAGGCACUAGGCACAUAGACUGAACUAUUCACAAAGGGCCCAGGCAGGACAAUCCUACCAGGUUCCUAGAAGGCAGGGAGCUGGGCACAUUUGGCAAGCAUUACCAAUGGUUAUUGUUACCUACUACUAGGCAUCCAAGUCAUGUGUUACAGCUAGGACCACAUGGAGAAAGAAACACUCAGUGUAAUUUCAAAUUGCAGAGGAAAAGAAUCUGAUUGGUUCAUUCUCAGUCAGAGAUCCAUUGUUGGUUUAAUUAACUGAAGAGGGUUGGGGUAUCAUAUUGUACGAAUGUAGUCGUUGGGAGCCAGCCCAUCCUUUGGAUGGGGGGAGGAGGAAUUGUGAAGAAAGUUAGGGGAGUUAUUUUAAGUUGGUGAAGUUACUUCAAUAUUAAUAUACCUUAAUAAAGAGCCAGAUAACAGCAGUUCAACUUUCUGAAAAGUCAGUGGAUAGAAAGACAGCCCUAUAUAUAAAUGAAAGCGAAGGAGAGCUGGCAUGGGCAAGUUGAGGCAUGAGUCCUGGUUGCAUGACUAACCGGGUAUGUGGCUUGGGAUAAGUCAUUUCAGAAUGUAUUGGCAUCUUGGGUUUUUGUCUGUGAAAUGAAUACUUAGUAAAAUGGCAGACAAAAGAAGUACAACUUGCUGAGAAAAGAGAGGUGUGUCAGGACGUUUUGGAGUCAAAUGAGAUAAUGGAUGUGAAGAUGCUUUGCAAAUCAUAUUCUGGUUUUCUUAAUUGGGCAGCCUUGGCCACAUUGCUUAUCAUUUCUCAGCCUGGCCUCCUUCUUUAACUUGGAGAUAAAAAGAUCUGCACUUCAGAGUAGUGAAGAUUAGAGGCAAAGAAAACUGAGCACUACAGCAUUAGGUCUGGCAAGACACCCAAUUAACGAUGGUUCUUAUUACUACUGGUGUUUACUUGCGGCAUUUGAAUUCGUGUCUCAUUGGAUUCCAUGAUUGACUCAGCAGAUCCGACUGGUUGAGUGUGUUUAUUUUCUCUUCUUUCUUGCUGCCAUUGACAUCCAUGGCUCAUGAAUAUGCACUCUUUCAUGAGCACAUAGGGCAUGAGUAAGGCUGAUCCUUCAAGCAGGUGAGCUUCUGUGAGAUGUAAUUCGCGGGAUAGUAUCCUAAAUUACACCCUUCACCCACUGGUCUGUCUGGGAUUCUCAUUUUUUGGGUCAUGUAUUGUGUAUUAAUCAGGGUGUUGUUUCUAUAGGAAACUCAUGAAAACAAACAUGUAAUCCAUCACUAGAUAGAAGCAGAUGAGAUAUCUGACCUUCUGCUGUGGGAUUAGUCUUUGAAGGAAAAGGGCACAGGACAAAUGUGACUGCAUAUUGGAAAGUUGGAAUUGCCCAAGGAGUUAAAACUAAAUGCAUGGGACUUACCUGCAGAAAUUCUGAUUUCAUUUCUCUGUAGUGUGGCCUGGUUUUGGAGAUGUUAUAAAGCUCCCCAGGGCCAGAUGUGGUGGCUCACUCCUGUAAUCCCAGCACUUUGGGAGGCCGAGGCAGGCAGAUCACGAGGUCAGGAGAUCCAGACCAGCCUGGCCAAUGUAGUGAAACCCCGUCUCUACUAAAGAUACAAAGAACUAGCAAGAUGUGGUGGCGCGUGCCUGUAAUCCCAGCUACUCAGGAGGCUAAGGCAAGAGAAUCGCUUGAACCCAGAGGCAGAGUUUGCAGUGAGCUGAGACCGCGCCAUUGCACUCCAGCCUGGGUGACAGGGUGAGACUCCAUCUCAAAAACAAAAGACAAAAACAAAAACUUAAAAGAACUAACUUUUUGUUAAGUACCAAUCAUGCCUAGAGUUGCCCUGGACCUUUUGAAUAGACCACAUUCUACUUCAUGUAAGGCACAAUAGAUUGUGUGAUGCUUCUUUAUGUAUCAAUAAGAUAAUUUUUUAAAUGCUACCAAUUAUAGUUGUAGGAAACUAUGAAUUGCAAGUGGCAUUCCAGUGUCAGAGAUGUUAAAAUGUGAGGAAUGAGCAUCUUAGAAUAAUUGCACCACCUCACUCCAGCCUGGCAACAGAGCAAGACUCCAUCUCAAAAAUAAAAAAAAAAGCUCCCCCCAGAUGAUUCUCAUGUGCAGCCAAAGUUGGAAGCCACUAGUUUAGAGCACAGGAUACUGUUAGAGAGGACAGAUCUAUUUGGGAAUCUGUGAUGAGCAAACAAGGGGAGGGGGAAGAUGAGGUGCCAGGGUUUCUUCAAAGAGGAAAUAUGAGAGGGUAGGAGAGGGAGAAGGAGGAGAAGACAAUUUCACUCAUGCUUAAUCUAAGCCUGAGAACUGUUGUGAAAUUUGUUAGGAAGAAGUGGUGAGAAGGGAGAAGAUGAGGGCUAGUCUCAGAGCACCCCGUGACUGUUAAUUUUAUGUGUUCAAUUUGACUAGGCCAUGAGACCUGGAUAUUUGGUGAAACAUUAUUCUACACCUCUCUCAUUUAGAUGAGGUAGACAUUUAAAUCAGUGGAGGUUGUGUAAAGUGGAUAACCCUCAAUAACAUGGGUGGGUCUCAUUCAAUCAGUUGAAGGCCUUUAUAGAAAAAGACUGAUUUCCCUGAAGGAAGAAGGAAUUCUGCCAUCAGACAGCUUUUGGACUGGAACUGUGAUUCUUCUCUGGGUCUUCAGCCAGCCCACCUACCCUACAGAUUUUGGACUUCUCAGCCUCCACAAUUGUGUGGGACAGUUUCUUAAAACUUUCUCUUUGUGUGCAUGUGUGCACGCGUGUGUGUGCACGCACACACACACACACACAUGCCCUAUGGGUUCUAUUUCUCCAGAGAACCCUGACUUAACAACCCUAAUGAGGUGGUAUUAUUAGUUGCCUCAUUUUACAGUUAAAGAAAGUGAGAUGCUUAAUAACGUGCCCAAAGUUGCACUUUCAGGAGUAGGGGAAACACAAGACACAGGAUGUAAGACCAGGGAGUCUGGCUCUAGCAUCGCCUGAGCUGACUCUCAGAGUCUUUUCAAAGAGGGUGUUGCUGUGGUACACAGUCAUGAAAAGCUAGAUUUUUUUUUUUGAAGACCACCUUAACCCUCAAACCUUAAGUUUCUUUGUUUUCAAAACAAGGGGGACUUUUUAGAUGCCAUAUGAAUUUUAGGAUUUUUUUUCUAUUUCUGUGAAGAAUGAUGAUGUUAUUUUGAUGGGAAUUGCAUUGAAUUUGUAGAUUGCUUUGGGCAGUAUGAUCAUCUUCACAAUAUUGAUUCUACCCGUCCAUGAACAUGGGAUGUGUUUCCAUUUGUGUUGUCUAUGAUUUCUUUCAGCAGUGUUUUGCAGUUUUCCUUGUAGCAGUCAUUCACCUCCUUGGUUAACUCUAUUCCUAAGUAUUUUAUUUUAUUUGUUGUACCUAUUAUAAAGGGAAUUGAGUUCUUUAUUUGAUUCUCAGCUUGAUCAUUGUUCAUGUAGAGAAGUGCUACUUAUUUGUGUACAUUGAUUUUAUAUCCUGAGACUUUAGUGAACUCGUUUGUCACACCUAGACAAUAGACAUUGGCACGGAUGUGGUAAGAAGGGAACACUUUUAUGCUGCGGGUGGAGAUGUAAACCAGUACAACCACUAUGGUAAACAGCAUGGAGACUCCUUAAAGAGCUAAAAGUAGAACUACCAUUUGAUCCAGCAAUCCCACUACUGCGUAUCUAUCCAAAGGAAAAGAAGUCAUUAUAUUAAAAAGACACAUGUACAUGCAUGUUUAUAGCAGCAUAGUUUGCAUUUGCAAAAAUAUGGUACCAAUCUAAAUGCCCAUUAACCAAUGAGUGGAUAAAGAAAAUGUGGCAUAUCUACACUGUGUAAUACUACUCAGCCAUAAAAAGGAAUGAAAUAAUGUCUUUUGCAGCAACUUGGAUGAAGCUGGAGGCCCUUAUUCUAAGUGAGUAACUCAGGAAUGGAAAACCAAGUAUCAUAUGUUCUCACUUAUAAGUGAGAGCUAAGCUAUGAGAAUGCAAAGGCAUUACAAUGAUAUAAUGGACUUUGGGGACUCAGUAGAAGGGAAGUUGGAAGGGGGAUGAAGGAUAAAAGACUACAUAUUGGGUAUAGUGUACACUGCUCGGGUGAUGGGCAUAUCAAAAUCUCAGAAAUCACCACUAAAGAACUUAUUCAUGUAAUCCCAAACCACUUAUACCCCAAAAACUAUUGAAAUAAAAAUUUAAAAAAUGAGGGGAACACCAGAUGAACCCUUUCAGACCUGUUGAUCUGUAACAACUAAGAGCAGACAUUAGAAGCUGAUGCCUGCCUAUUGGCAAUUGUAGCUGUCAAGAGUUUCAGCCUUGCUGCUAGGUAGUGAAAUUAACACCUGCUUUGCCUUCUUCCCUGCCUUCCCUCUGCUGGGUCUCAUCUCCCCUCAUUCUCAAGGGCUGAUCCCUUAACUCACUGGUACCUGUUUGGUUUCUCAAAUUGCAUUUGAAUCUUCCUCAGUGGAACUCUUCCUGCUGCCUCUGUCUGAUGUAUUAGCAAUGUCAGAAGCUCAGAAUGACUGCUUCCAGCCAGACAUUGGGUUGGUUUUAAAUGUAUUCAUCUCUUGUCAUACCAGUUACUGGCACUGUUUUUAAGCUCGUGUGUGUGUGUGUGUGUGUGUGUGUGUGUGUGUGUGUGUGUAUUGUGUGUUAUUUUCUAAGUAAGUAAUUAAAUUUUUAGAAUCAUACAGCUCUCUGUGUAGAACAGCUUUGUGCAAAUACUUUGAAUUUUAUUCCAGUUUAUAGCACAUCAAUUUGUUUUCAGCAUUUUCUCAGUCUACUUUCCAUCUGCCUGAACUCUGGUAGACUGAAGUCCAGUUUUGGGUGAUAAAGUGAUUAGCAGCAUUUGUCUGCUCUUAGAGCACUUGGGAUUCAAGUCUCCCCUAUAUCUCUUCUUCUGUAUCUCAUUGCUUUUGUUUUUUUUCCCCCAUCUUGACACUUUUUCAGUAUAUCAGGAAUCUUUCUUCAUAUAUAUAUGUUUUUUAAGACAGAGUUUCACUCUUGUUGCCCAGGCUGGAGUGCAAUGGCGUGAUCUCGGCUCACCACAACCUCCACCUCCCAGGUUCAAGCAAUUCUCCUGCCUCAGCCUCCCGAGUAGCUGGGAUUACAGGCACCCACCACCACUCUCAGCUAAUUUUGUAUUUUUAGUAGAGACGGGGUUUCUCCAUGUUGGUCAGGCUGGUCUUGAACUCCCUACCUCAGGUGAUCUGCCCACCUCGGCCUCCCAAAGUGCUGGGAUUACAGUGUUGAGCCACCAUGCCCGGCCGCAUCUUUCUUUUUAAAUCAACUUUACUGAGGUAUAAUGGACACACAGUAAGCUGAUGUAUUUAAAGUAUACGAUUUGGUGUUUUUACAUAUGUAUACAUCCACAAAUCCAUCCCCACAAUCAAGAUAAUGAACAUAUCUAUCACCCCCAAAAGCAUCCUGUGUCCCUUUGUAGUGACUUCUGUUGUUGCACCCUUUCCCCACCAUAUGUUAGUUUACAUUUUGUAAAAUCUUAUAUAAAUGGAAGCAUACAGAGUGAACUCUUUUUGUCUGGCUCUUUUACUUAUUUCUGAGUUGGUAUUUCAUUGUACGGAUAUACCACAAUACAUUUAUUCAUUCGCCCAGGGAUAGACAUGUGGUUGCUUUUAGCUUUUGAAUAUGACAAAUAAAGUGUCUAUAAGCAUUCACGUAGAAGUCUUUGCAUGGACAUAUGUUUCCUUUUUUAAAAAAAUUAUUUAUUUAUUUUUUAAGAUGGAGUCUUGCUCUUAUCACCCAGGCUGAAGUGCAGUGGCAUGAUCUCAGCUUACUGCAACCUCCGCCUCCAGGGGUUUCAGUGACUUUCCUGUCUCAGCCUCUUGAGUAGCUGAGAUUACUGAUGUGCACCACCAUGCCCAGCUAAUUUUUGUAUUUUUAGUAGAGACGGGGUUUCAUCAUGUUAGCCACGGUGGUCUCAAACUCCUGACAGGUGAUCCACCUGCCUAGGCCUCCCAAAGUGCUGGUAUUACAGGUAUGAGCCACCAUGUCUGGCCCUGUUUUCAGUUUUUUUUUUUGUUUGUAAAUAUCUAGAAGAAUGGCUGGAUGAUGAGGUAGGUAUGUAUUUAACUUUUAAAGAAGCUGCCAAACUGUUUUCCAAAGUGAUGGUGCCGUUUUAACAUUCCCAGCAGCAGCAUAUGAAAGGUCUAAUUGCUUCACAUCUUUGCCAACACUUUGUGUGGUCAGACUUUUUAAUUUUAGCUUUCCUAAUACAUGUGUAGCGGCAUCUCACUGUGUUAGCGUACAUUUCCUAAUGAUUAAUGAUGUUGAUCUUUUUUUUUUUUUUUUUUUUCUGAGACAGUCUUACUCUGUCAUGAGGCUGGAGUGCAGUGGUACAGUCUUGACUCACUGUGACCUUGACCUCCCAGGCUCAGGAGAUCCUGCUACCUUAACCUCUUGUGUAGCUGAGACUACAGGCACGUGCCAUCAUGCCUGUAGUAUUUUUUGUAUUUUUCGUAGAGACGAGGUUUUGUCAUGUUGCCCAAGCUAGUCUCAAACUCCUGAGCUUAAGCAAUUUGCCCACCUUGGCCUCCCAAAGUGCUGAGAUUACAGGUGUGAGUCACUGCACCUGGCCUAGCAUAUUUUAUGUGCUUAUGUGCCAUCCACAUAUCUUCUUUGUUGGAGUAUCUGUUUAAAUCAUGUUUAAAUCUUUUGCCAAUUUCUUAUUGAGUUUUUAAUUUUCUUAUUGUUGAGUUUUGAGGAUUCUUCAUAUAUUCUAGAUAUAAAUUCUUUUUCAGAUAUGUCACUUAUAAGGACUUUCUUUCAGUCUGUGCUUGUAUCUUUUGAUAAGUGGAUUUUUUUUUCUUCAGACAGAAUAUUGCUGUGUUGCCCAGGCUGGAGUGCAGUGGUUUGAUCUCAGCUCACUGCAACCUCCGCCUCCUGGGUCCAAGUGAUUCUUGUGCCUCAGCCUCCUGACUAGCUGAGACUACAGGCAUGCAUAGGCAUACCCAGCUAAUGUUUGCAUUUUUAGUAGAGACAGAGUUUUGCCAUGUUGGCCAGGCUGGUCUUAAACUCCUGGUCUGAAGUGAUCCACCUGACUGGCCUCCUAAAGUGCUGGGAUUACAGGCCUGAGCCACUGUGCCCAGAAGAAGUGCUAAUUUUGAUGAAGUUCCAUUUAUCAUUCUAUUUUUUUAAUGCUUUUGCAUCAUAUGUAAGAAAUCUUUGCAAAACCCAAGGUCAUGAAGAUUUUCUCCUGUUUUCUUCUAUAGGUUUUAGAGUUUAAGGUUUCAUGUUUAGGUUUAUAAUCUAUCUUAAGGUAAUUUCUGUUUGUGAUAUGAAGUAUGGAUCCAAGUUUCCUUUUUUUUUUUUUUGCAUAUCAAGAUCCAAUUGUUCUAGCAUCAUUUGUUGCAAAGUCAAUCCUUUUUUCCGCUGCACCUUUGUAAAAGUUCACUGUCAAUAUUCAUGAGUUUAUUGCUAGACCCUGUAUUCUCUUCCAUCGAUCUAUUUGUCUGUCUUUAUACAAAUACCACAGUGUUUUGAUUCUGAAGCUUUAUAAUAAUUCUCAGGAUCAGGUAAUAUUAGUCCUUCAACUUUGUUCUGUUUUUACAGAGUGUUUUGUUUUUGUUUUUGUUUUUUUGACUAUCCUAGGGUAUUCGCAUUUUUAUAUGGGGAAAUGAAAGAUGGUCUCUGUUAAUGUGGCUUUAUUUUCUCCACUUAUCAAGAGGUCCCUGAGGGGGUCACUUACAUGCUUCACGUCUACUGCACUGCCUUUUGAGAAGAAAAGUGUCAGGGUUGACUAAUUUCUCCAAAUUUGGAGAAGGGCUAAAUUCUGAAACUCAUGACCUUUCAGAGCCUCCUGGCUGAUAGCAUUUUCUCCUCCCCUUAUAACCUGCCUCCUUAAGUGAUCACCUUCAAGACUGGUUUGAGAUGCAGUGGGACUUUUAAGUGAGACUAAACUCCCUGAGAGUGAGAAGUUGGUCUGUGUUCCUCACUUGCCUCCCUAGAAACAAGCACAUUGUCUAGUGCCUAGUAAUUGCCCAAUGACUAUUCUUACAGCCAAAUCUGUUGCCAAGUGAAGCUUGCUCUGGGAGUUAAAGUCUUGCCUUGUAUUGCUCUGCUUUCUGGUUUCAGGGAGGAUUAAGGUGAAAGGAGGGCCUCUGGUGGCUCUGGAGCUCCCACUGUGUGCAAGGCAUCAUGGCAGGAAUCCACACAUAGGCUAUCCCACUUACUCUUCACCAUUACUCUGCAACAAGGAAAUAUUAUUCCCAUCUAUUACUAAUGAGGAAAUGGAAGCUCAGAGGGUGUAUUAGUCAGGGUUCUCUAGAGGGACAGAACUAAUGGAAUAGCUGUAUAUAAAGGGAGUUUAUUAAGUAUUAACUCACAUGAUCACAAGGUCCCAUAAUAGGCUGUCUGCAGGCUAUGGAGCAAGGAGAGCCAGUCUGAGUCCCAAGGCAAAAGGACUUGGAGUCUGAUGUUCGAGGGCAGGAAGCAUCCAGCACGGGAGAAAGAUGUAGGCUGGGAGGCUAGGCCAGUCUCUCUUUUCACAUUUUUCUGCCUGGUUAUAUUCUAGCUGUGCUGGCAGCUGAUUAGAUUGUGCCCAGAUUAAGGGUGGGUCUGCCUUUCCCAACCCACUGACUCAAAUGUUAAUCUCCUUUGGCAACACCCUCACAGACACAAUCAGGAUCAAUACUCUGUAUCUUUCAAUCCAAUCAAGCUGACACUCAGUAGUAACCAUUCCAGAGGGGUUAGGGAACUUGUUACCACGCAGCAGAAUUGAAAUUUGGACUCCUACUUUUCCCAAUACUUUAACCUCCCUCCCUAAGUAUCUAAGAUAUGCCAAAGUCAUUUACUUAGGAAACAUAUAGCUAAAACGCAUUAAGCACUUACUGUGUGGCAGGCACUAGGGACCUGGUGAACAAUGAGUGGUUUGUGGUAGAGGCUACAAGGGAGGCAGGGACGGGGGACAUUGAUGAGGAGAAGAGAAAGGCGCUGGCUUUGAAGGGUGUUAACUACCAGCCUAAAGAACACGGGCUCUAUCCGGUAGGUGUUGGGGAAUGGUGGAAGGGUUUUAUUCAAAUGCAGAACAGGAUUGGACUUAUAUUUAGGAAGAGCAUCCAGCAGCAGUGUGGAGGGCAGAUGGCUGUGGGCGAGGAAGGAGUCAGGAACAGUAGUUAUGACACCACCGAAAGAGAGAAUAAAGAUGAUGGUGACGAGGCGGCUGAAGGAACUGAACAGUUAUGUAUAGCAGACACUGUGCUUAGUGUAUUCCAUGUGCUUGCUCAUUUAAUAUUCAGAACAACUGCAUGAAGCCAAUGCUACUAUGAUCACCAUUUUCCAGAUGAGGAAAUUAAGCCACAGAAGAGUUAAGUAAUAAUCAUUCCAAUCAUAAUAGAAUAAGCCCUGAAACGAUGUUCCCUGUUCACACCUGUAAGAUUCUCUUACAGUUUUCAGCCAGUAAAUUGCAGAACCAGGAUGUGAGCCUAUACAUCCUAAAUGCCAAGCUGUAUUUGUUUUGUCGCUUACCAAAUCACCUCGCAUCACAGACACCCAAGGGGGGGAGAGAGAAAUCUUUGUGAUCACAAAGGCCACCUCGCUGCCCCUCCCAGCCCCAUCCAGAUGUGUGAAUCUCUCCUGUGCCAUCUGCUUAAUCAUCUCCAGUGAUGAGGGCUACCCUCUCUGUCCAGGCAUCCUGGACCACAUUUUGACACCAGCAUUAUGAAAACUUGAUCUUUGUUUUUGAGCCCUGGUGAACUUGGCUUGCUGCUUCCAGGGCUUUCUCUGAGCCUCUGCUGGCCUUUUUUUCUACUUAAUAAGCACCUGAGGGUGUGAACUGUGGCUACUGGUACAAUCUGGGACAAAGUCCACCAGGGAUUUUAAGGAGUGUUCUUUGCAUGCAAAAUAUCACAAGGUGGCUGAGGCCAUGCUAAUUGGCUACAUUUGAACUACAACAACAUUCAAACCCAGCAAGACAAUUAAAGCUGAAAAUGAUCAGCUGGGAUUAAAAGGAUCCAAAGGGUAAUUGCUUCAUAACAAGCUACAUUGCUCCAAGUAGCAGGAAGGAUUGACGAAACUGGAAUUAUUAUAUUGGAAUACUUGUUUAUUUUUAUAGCGUGUUUUAAAAUCAUUUGGAUUUGGCCAACUUGUGCCUUUUCCCAAAUACUCCUGGGUUUGGUUAACUGCCUUGGAUUUAUCUGCCAACUGCAAUUACUCCUGUUCUUGGAAACUACAGAGGCACAGAAACAUACUCACCAUUUAUCAGUGUGAUAAAUACUUUUAUUGCCUUGGUAAUAAUGAUGCCUACAUUUGUAUAGUGCUUGUAACGUUUUCAAAAUGACUUAUGUCUGUUAUCUCAGUUUGAGAACAACCCGAUGGUAUGGUUAAGGGUUGGGGUUCCGAUUUGGAGAUGAUAAAGGCAGGGAGAAGUGAGCCGUGUAGCAGAUUAACAUUAGUGCUCACACGAGAAUCCCGUGUGCCUGCUCUCACCUGGGGUAUUCUAAGAAGGAAGCAUCUUGUUCAGCAGGGCUGAACCCCGCCAACCCAAAGUGAAAAAGUAAUUGUUGGGGAUUAAGAGGAAGGUGAAACUCAUUGAUAAAUUAGCUGUUUGAACUUUACAAUAUGAAAGAGAUCAAUCGUCGGUCAGAUAGGAAAGGUGCUUUCAGAAAUAAAGUUGCUGCAAUAACACCUAAGGUAUGAACUUUGGUUUGGAGUUGGUAGUCUUGGGCUUACAUUCUGCCUCUUCCUUUUUGUGGUUCUGUAUCUGUUAUUUGACUAGUCUUCUGGAUCUUAGUUUCCUCUUUUGUACGAUGGGUCUAACAAGGACAUUUCUCCGGUGUUAUGGUUAAGGUCAAAUGAAACCGUAUAUGUGCUGGAGCUAGACAAAUAUGGGGUACUUUGGUCACUGGCAUUUUUCUGUCUGAUGUUCCUACUUUAACUGUGAUAAGAUAUUCAGAAGACCAGCCACCUUUGCAGCUUGUUUCUUGAGAGACUUCAUUCCCUACAUUUUAAGGUGUGUUUAAAGGGAUGUUUUCCUUAUUAUAAUAGAACGAGUUACUAGGGUUUCACAAUUUAGGAACAGGCAGAAGUCUUUUCUAGAUACACACAAAGUGAAUCAACCACCUUAAACCAAGCAGCAUCUAAGAGAUGUGCCUUCUAGUUCUGAAACGGAUACAAUUUCCAGCUUUUGUGACAACCCUGCCAGUUUAGCCUGCUCUAAUAUUUGUUCUGGGUGUGAGAUUUUCUUUCUUCUCUCUUUUCUUUUUUCUUUCUCUCUCUCUCUGUUUCUCUCUCUCUCUUUUUCUUUCAUUCUUCUGAGACAGAGUCUGGUUCUGUCAACCAGGGUGGAGUGCAGUGGCAUGAUCUUGGCUCACUGAAACCUCUGUCUCCUGGGCUCAAGCCAUCCUCCCACCUCAGCCUCCCAAGUAACUGGGACUACAGGCAUGUGCCACCAUGCCCAGCUAAUUUUUGUAAUUUUUUUUGUAGAGAUGGGGAUCUUGCCAGUAUGCCCAGGCUGGUCUCAAACUUUUGAGCUCAAGUGAUCUGCCCGCCUUGGCUUCCCAAAGUGCUGGGAUUACAGGUAUGAGCCACCAAGCCUAGCAGGGGCUGAGGUUUUAAAACAACACCAGUUUCUCAAUGUAAAGCCUUAGGGUAUAGAAAGGAUUCUUUCAGAUUUUGCAGUCUAGUAAAGACUGUUUUUGUGCAGUGCACUCUGGACUAACCCUUACAGAUAGAAAGUAUUGUUCUAGGCAUUGUAGGGCAUGCAAAAUAAAUAGAAGUUAGUGUGUCUCCAAACAUGAACUUAGAAUCUAGUUGGAGAAAAAAAACAAAUACACAUAAAGUACUUAUAUUUAGCUCUCACCAAGCUUUUGUUUGGUGCCAGGAACCAGGUGGAGCCCGCUGUCUAUAUCAUCUUAUUCCCACCAGGUAAGUACUAUUUCUUUUAUCCUUAGUUCACAGCAUAGAAAUUGAGGUUCAGGGAGUUUAAGGGCCUUUCCAAAGACAACUCUGUCCACCUGUCUCUAAAGGCCACACUCUAACCACCUGCUAAUCAGUACUUCCAAACUCAAUGAGUGGGUCUUCCCAGCCAGCUCUGAAUCUGGGUUCAUGGUUCAAAAUAUCGGGAAUUAAAGUGCAAAUGAAUGGAUUGCUUACAAAAGCGGUCACUUUAAGUAAAGGCAGUGAAGCCACAGGGGAGAAAAGUGACUUCUGGGAUCCAACUGGCCUGGGUUUGAAACCUGGAUCCGUCAGUUAUAGCCUGCAAAUAGUUCAGCCUCCCUGGAACUUGAUCUCCACAUCUCUAUUAAGGAGGGAGAAGAAUGCUUUCAACUUUAACUGAGAUAACCUGUAGAAAGCACCUAGCACAGAGCAUAGCACAAAGGCUGGCCAAUACGUGGCUCCUUCACCCUGCUUCCCAUUCAAUGGCUGCUCAACAGCUUCCUCUGACCAAGAGACCCCCACUUCACAUCUUUCCAUCAUGCCCCCCACAAGCUGCCUUUUCCACUCUCUCUUCAUAGAUGCCAACAAAAGGUGGCCUGCUCAUCUGCUUUGAAUCUUGCUGGUCUCUGGCUUAUCUCUUCCAAUCCCCGGUGCAUUCUUGGCUUCGCAGGGAUUCAGCAUGCCCACAUUCUUGUGCGGUCACUGAUUGAGCCCAGUUCCCUGUCUUGACAGUGGCCUUUAGAACAUGAAAGUGUGUUUACACUCCACAAAUGUGUUUGAAUUUCCUAGAGCUGGCAUCAGAGGAACUAGAGCCUCAGCUUAACCUCCCGCAGCCUGGUUCCAGUUGAGUGCUUUGUGGGAUGCCAUUUCUGUCAGAAAGUUUGUUCUUAAACUAAGCUGCAACCUGGCAGAAUGGUUCUGAAAUGAAGAACUCAGACCUGGCAUCCAAUUGCCUUGAUUUAGAACCACCUGAGAAUAGAUAGUGAGCUUGUUUCCAAGUGUUUUACUGUUAUACAUAAAACUCCAUGCACAUCCUCGUGCACACUUGUGAGAGUGUCUCUGGGAGUACACAUCUCAGAGAGAAAUUGCUGGCUUAAAGGUAUGCGCACCUUUAGGUUGACUAGGUACUGCCAAAUGGCUCCCCAACUUGUUGCAAUAAUUCAUACUACCAUUAGAAUCUAGGAAAAUUCCAGUUCUUCCCUAUCCAUUCACUUUUGGUAUUGUCUGACUUUAAAAUUUUUGCAAAUCUGAUGAUGUGAAAUGACAUUAUUAUUUUUAAUUUGUAUUUCUCAGAUGGUUAGUAAGGAUGAACAUCUUUAUAUGUGAUUUUUGACUAAUUGCGUUUCCUUUUUUGUGAAUUGUCUUUCUCUAUUUUUUGCUUACUUUUUUAUUGGGUUGUAUAUUGUUUUCUUAUUGAUUGCCAAAGAAUUCUUUAUAUUAUUCUGGAUAUAUAUAUGUAUAUGCAUAUAUAUGUGCACGUAUAUAUAUGUGAUUAUAUAUUCUGUAUUAUACAUAUUCUGUUGAUUAUAUGCUUUGAAAUAUUGUUUUCUAGUUUAUGUGUUACCUUUUCAUGUAGCUUAUGAUGUCUUUGUAAGAAAUUAUAUUUAGUAGUCAAAUCUGCCAUCUUUUUUUUCAUAGUUUGAACUUUUUGUGUAAUUCUUACCACCAAAGACCAUGCACCUCUAAUAACCAGGAAAUAGAGUCAGUAAUGGGGGCAGGAAUAAAUAGAAGCUGACACCAUUGAGAAUUCUGGCAGAAGUUCUCUUGGAAGGGUUAGCUGUGAGGUUGUUGGGGUUUUUUUUCAACUUUCAAUUUUUUUUUUUUUUUUUUUUUGAGACAGAGUCUCACUUUGUUGCCCAGGCUGGGGUGCAGUGGCGCGAUCUUGGCUUACUGCAACCUCCACCUCCUGGGUUUAAGAGAUUCUCCUGCCUCAGCCUACAGAGUAGCUGGGAUUACAGGUGUGCGCCACCAUGCCUGGCUAAUUUUUGUAUUUUUAGUAGAGACGGGGUUUCAUCAUGUUGCCCAGGCUCAUCUCGAACUCCUGAUCUCAGGUGAUCUGCCCACCUCGGUCUCACAAAGUGCUGGGAUUACAGGUGUGAGCCACUGAGCCCGGCCUCAACUUUUAACUUUGAAAUAAUUAUAUCCUCAUAGCAAGUUGCAAACUAACGUGCAAGGUGGUCCCAAGGACACAACACCAGCUCCCCCCAGUAGUAACAUCUUGCACAGCUAUAGAACAAUAUCAUCACAGUCAGGAAAUUGACAUUGGUUCAAGCCACAGGGUUUGUGUGUGUGUGUGUGCGUGCGCGUGCCUGUGUUCUAUGCAGUUUUUUCAUAAAUGUAGUUUUGAUCAGCCAGCACCACUGUCGAGCUACAGAGCUGCUUUGUCACCACAAGCUUUCUCAUCCUAUCUGUUCGUAGCCUGUGACUUUGUUUUGAAGCAUGUUAAAGACACUACAGCUAAACUCAUUUUCUGUUUCUCUGGAUGACUUCCAAAGAGUAAAUUUAAAUGCACAGUUUAUUUUUAAUUUUUUAAUUUUUUUUUCUUUUUAACCCCUGUCAGCUUCAUUAGCACAGUUUUUAAAUAUACAUAUACAAUAUGCAAAGCAGAAUGAUCACAGGCUCUGGAAUCUGGUGCACCUGGAUUUGCGACACAGCACAGUUUUUCACCAGCUGGGCAACCUUGAGUCCCUUUCUGAGCCUCACUGAUAAGAGGGUGGGGGGAGACAGUACUUGCAAUAAUAGGCAACAUUGCUGUACAGUGGCCAAUAAGUGCCUCAUGAGUGGUAGUUACUGUAAUUGAGGUUUCUCCUCUGACACCAACCUCAUUACCCUGAUUUGCUUCCACAUGAGUAGAAAUCAUGGCUGUUCUGGCCUCUGCUUGUCAUCUCAGCUGAUGAACCAUCUUUUUUUUUUUAAAAAAAAAUUAUAAAUUGACAAUUGAUAAUUGUGUAAAUUUAUGGAGCACAAAGUGAUGUUAUAAUUUACGAAUACAGUGUGGAAUAAUUAAAUCAACUAGUUAACAUAUCCAUCACCUCAAGAACUUAACAUUAUUUCGUAAUGAGAACAUUUGAAAUUUACUCUGUGAAUACUUUAGAAAUGCUCAAUACUACACACAAACUACCAACUACAGACAGUUCUUGACUACUUAGGUGAGACAAACAACUUUUUUGACUUUCUCAUGAUGCAAAAGCUAUACGCACUCAGUAGAAACCAUAUUUUGAGUACCCAUUCUAUUUUUACUGCCAGUACAGUAUAUAAUAAAUUGUGUGAGAUAUUUAAUACAAUAUUUUAUUAUAAAAUAGGCCUUGUAUUAGAUGACUGUCCUCAACUAUAGGCUAAUGGAAGUGUUCUGAGUGCAUUUCAGGUAGGUGAGGUGAAGUUAUAAUGUUCUGUAGGUUAAGUGUAUUAAAUGCUUUCGACUUAGGAUAUUUCCAACUUUCCGUGUUUACUGGGACAUAACCCUAUCGUACAUUUAGGAAUAUCUGUAUAUUUACCUUGCUGUGCUUUAGGACUUAAAACAAAACAAAACAAUGAUUUUCCUUCUGUCUAACUGGAUUUUUGUACCUUUUAACCAUCACGCCUAUCUCCCCAUCCCUCGAAAAGCUCUUACUGCUUUUAUUUCAUUUUUGUCUUCCUCUUCCACUGUGCUCACCAGCAGGACAGAUAACUGUGGCAGAGGCCUCCUGAGCUCGUUAGCUGAGCUCUCACAUCUCUCUGGUCUUUUUGUCUCACACGUUUUCUGUUUCAUCUGUGGCUUGCCUUUGCUGUCUGGCUGGGCAAAUCCUCCCCGUGCCAGUGCUGACGUCGCAGUGCCCUUUUAAGAGGAGCACCCCGCUGGGUGCCAAUGGCUCCUGAUCUAAGCAGAGAGGGCUGAGCUGGGGGGAGCCAAGAGCUCCUUCCUGGGGCUGGGAGGAGCAGCUAUUCUGGGAAACAAACGCUCCAGGCAUCUCAUUAGCAUAAUCUCAGGAAUUAAUGGCUUGAUUGAUGUUUCACGUUUCCCUGCAGUUUUCUAUAAAUGAUAAUACAUUAAAAGGAGAUGGAGGAAAGAAAACAUGACACGACAUAUAUUAUUUAGGUGUUUGCAGAGAGGCUGACACACAAACACACACAAUUUAUCAACAGUCACUUUUUGCAUGGUGUUCUGAGCCCCAAGCCUCCAAGAUGUGGAAUUAAUUUCAUAGCAGGUGAUUUUAGACUAUUUCACAUGGGCCAUCUGUCGCUUCUUCAUUUAACUCUCUGCUGUUACAAUAAUUAAUCAUUUCAGGGACUGGCUUGGCCCAAGCCAGUCCACUCUGGCUGAGAGCUCCACAAAAGGGGGUAACGUUGGAUUACUUGCUUUAAAGUGGUGUGCUCCUUUGAAGCAGGUAUGUUCAAUUUUUUUUCUUGUUCUCUUGUAUCUGCUAACACCAUUGGCUCAAGAGCUGGUGACUGCUCCAGAGUAUUAGAUUUUUGUUGCUUAAUCUGUUCAUCUUCUACAUUUGCAAUUGAAAAAAAAACAAGUUCAGAGAGGUUGCUUGAAUUGUCUAGGCUCACACAGCCAACCUGAGGGAGCUGAGACCAGAACCCCUGGUCAAUUUUUCAUACCUUGGUCUUGCUGUCUUUUGUCUGAACGGGUUCUUCAGAGAAAGAAGAAAACUCACCAGGAAUAAGAAGAAGGGAACCCUAGAAACCCUAGGGGUAUCUCAGCGUAGGGUAUUUGGGACAUACUCAAAUUAAAUGCUACAUGUCAACGAUUUAAUCAUUUCAGAAAUCAAAAUGUAACCAGCUCUAAGAUGGAAUUAGUGCCAGAGGAAACGAAGAGACAUGAGGCAUUGGUCCACCAUGCUUGAUGAAACUGUGGAAGAGAAAAAACACCAUGCUGCUUUUUAAAUUGAGACGCAUUCACCUGCCAUCAUUUAUUGAUGGACUUACUAAUGACACAAAUAUUCUUUCAUUGAUUAAUCAGUUCAUGCCAACACUGGGCUGGAUGCUAGAGGUACAGUGAAGUCCAUGCACUCAUGGGACGGAUAAUUUAGUCGAGGGACAUAAAAUGAAGAGUUAAACAAACAAAUACAAAUUGGCGUAAAUGCUACCAAAGAAACAAACAAGGAGUGAAGAUGGGGAAGGACUGGUGGCUGUUCCUCCAUGUGUGUGUGGGUGAAUAUAGACCGGAUGGUCACAGAAAGCCUCUUGAAGGGAACUGCACUUGAAAUUGGACCCUGAAGGAUAGGAGCUGACAUGUGACCACAGCAGGAGGGCAAUCCCAGGAGCUGGUGCUGCAUCCACAAUGGCCCUGGGGUGGGAAGGAAGAUCAGCACCACAGAAAUGGAGUCAGGGGCUCAAGAACCAGUAACGAAGGGGUAGAAGAGUAAGUGGGGCCACUGUAAUCCUACAGGGGAUUACACCUGUAAUCCCAGCAUUUUAGGAGGCCGAGGUGGGCGGAUCGUCUGAGGUCAGGAGGUCGAGACCAGCCUGGCCAACAUGGUGAAACCCCAUCUCUACUAAAAAUACAAAAAUCAGCCCAACACGGUGGUGUGUGCCUGUAGUCCCAGCUACUCGGGAGGCUGAGGCAGGAGAAUCACUUGAACCUGGGAAGUGGAGGUUGCAGUGAGCCAAGAUCACGCCACUGCACUCCAGCCUGGACGACAGAGUGAGACUCCGUCUCAAAACAAAAAAAAAAAGAAGAGGUAAGUGGGAGGAAGAUCAUUGAAGGCCUCUCCAGGUCAUGGUGAAAAGUCUGGAUAUGACUCAUGGGAACCACGGGAUGGAUUUCACUGGGAAAACAGAGCCUGGUGUAUACUUCAUUUUCUCCUUUUUACAGAUGAAGACACUGAGGUGCAGAGAAACUUGCUGAAGACGACAUGAUGAUAGGUGGAGUAGCUGGAUUUCGAAUUUCUAACCUAGCCCUCUUCAAUUUCAGAGUUCAAUGCUCUAAACCAGGGGUCAGCAAACUGUGGCCUAUAGACCAAGUCCAGACUACUGCCUAUUUUUGUAUAAACAAAGUGUCAUUGGAGCACAGCCAUUUCCAUCCAUUUGUGUCAUGUCAGUGGCUGCUUUCCCACUACAAAGGCAGAAUUGAGGAGCUGCAACAGACACUGUGUUAGGCAGAGCCCAAAAUAUUUACUAUCUGGCCCUUUAGAGAGAAAGUUUAUUGACCCCUGCACUAGCCUGUAGGCCUCAGGCAGGGAGGAAUCAUGUCUGCUUUGCUCCUGGUGUUUCCCCUGAGUCACUCAGUGAUUGGUAUUUAGCUAGUAUCCCCUCAGCAUCUGCUGAAUAAAUGAAGAAUGGGAGGUGACUGCACAGAAUUGAGGAAUUAAAGAGUCAGAGAUUGGGUGGCCAGGAUUGGCAGGAGAUAAGAAACACAGGCCGAUGGGCAUAGGCUCUGCUUGGAGUGCAGCAGGUAGACCCCUGCUUGGCUAGAAAGCAGCAUGCAGAGGGGAGGGGCAGGGUGUCAGGUUAGAGAGACCACCUGGGGGUUGAUUGAGAAGAGCCUUGAAUGCCAUCAUCAUGAAGUGCCCAAGACCUUUAAGUGGCUGAGUUAGCACUCACAGAGGGGAUGGAGGAGACCUGCUUUCCCAAGAUGAAGAUUGUAAUUGGUUAUUGAUGUCCUAUUUGUAUGCUAAUGCUGCUUAAUAAAAUAGCUAAGCCAUAAUUAACGUUCCAGGUUUCUCUCUUCCUCAAAAAAAAGAGCCAUGGAAAGGUCAAUGGAUUUCGUAUAAUAAAUUAUUAAAUAACGGGAAACACAAGAAAUCAGUUUCUGAGCUAUAAUCUUUUCAGGUUUUAUUAACUAUCAUUUGUUACAAGCACUGACAAUGUUUACAUUUUGCUUCUGCCAUCUUCUUGCCAGUUCCAGGAAUUUUUGGAAUCGGAAUCAGUGUUGAGUGCAAAAAUAUAUUGUUUGCCAGAGUUUACCUAUUUGAAAAUCAAGACAGGUUACCUCUGUGAUCUGACUUCUCUCUUUGUGUCAAUGUUUAGGCCAAUGGUAUGGCAGCACAUUGGCAGAUGUUAUGGUAGAUGGAAACUGUGAUGAACAACACUAUGAUGCCAGUUACAUUUAGUUGGUAAUAACGAAAAUAUGCCAGGACCCUCUGUAGUUAAAAUUCUUACUCCUGUCAUGCAAAUUCUGCCAGAGGGAAGACUAGCAAAAAUUCAGCAUGACAUAGGGGUACCCAUGAGCUUGGGCUCCGGGGUCAGACACUCUGCAUUUGAAUCACAGUCUCACUUUUCAGUAGCUGUGAAUUUUGUCCUUGCUUCUUCCAUGCCUCAUUUUAUUAAACUAGGAAACAGGGAUGUCAGCAAUGCUUACUGCAUGGAGUUAUGAAGACUAAAUAAGAAAAUGCAUGUAAAGUGCAUGUCAGAAUGUUGGGCACACAGUAAAUGUUCAAUGAGUGUUGAAAGUGCUCAAGGACAAUGGCCCAUAAGAAGCC
rnacentral:lncRNA from 1 species